NNAWGCYRYMWWSWGCNUGAWRRWGGAUGCCUUGGCGUUCGGAGCCGAUGAAGGACGUGGCAGGCUGCGAUAAGCCCCGGUGAGUUGUCAAGCGAACAUUGACCCGGGGAUUUCCGAAUUGGUAAACCAGGCUGGGGUCAUGCCCAGUCACUCCGGUCUGAACACAUAGGGCCGGUAGAGGGAACCGGGGGAAUUGAAACAUCUCAGUACCCCGAGGAAAAGAAAGCAAUAGCGAGACCCUGAGUAGCGGCGAGCGAAACGGGUUCAGCCCAAACCGAUGCGGCGUGACAGGUCGACGCCGUUGCCGUGUCGGUGUUGUGGGACCCUUCAGACGGGACGUCGAUCCCGUCAGGAAGUUACAAACUCUGCAGAUAGGCGAAUCCGCUGGGAAGCGGAGCCAUAGGAGGUAACAGCCCCGUAGCCGAAAUCUGUCAGAGCUUCCGAGGGUGAUCCCAAGUAGCACGGGGCACGUGAAAUCCCGUGUGAAUCAGCGAGGACCACCUCGUAAGGCUAAACACUACCGAACGACCGAUAGCGGACUAGUACCGUGAGGGAAAGGUGAAAAGUACCCCGGCGAGGGGAGUGAAACAGUACCUGAAACCAUUAGCUUACAAGCAGUCGGAGGGAUCCUUGUGGUCCUGACGGCCUGCCUUUUGAAGAAUGAGCCGACGAGUCAUCGGUGUGUGGCGAGGUUAAGUCGAGUGAUGGAGCCGCAGCGAAAGCGAGUCUGAAUAGGGCGUCUAGUCGCAUGCCAUGGACCCGAAGCCAGGUGAUCUAUCCAUGGACAGGGUGAAGCGAGGGUAAGACCUCGUGGAGGCCCGAACCCACCUAGGUUGAAAACUGGGGGGAUGAUCUGUGGAUAGGGGUGAAAGGCCAAGCAAACCUGGCGAUAGCUGGUUCUCCCCGAAAUAGCUUUAGGGCUAGCGUCGUAUGUUCCGCAUUGGGGGUAGAGCACUGAUUGGGCAAGGGGGCCAACAAGCUUACCGACCCCAGUUAAACUCCGAAUCCCAAUGCGCUAAGUACGGCAGUCAGACCAUGGGGGAUAAGCUUCAUGGUCGAAAGGGAAACAGCCCAGACCGUCAGCUAAGGUCCCAAAGUCAGAACUAAGUGGGGAACGAUGUGGAGUUGCCCAAACAGCCAGGAGGUUGGCUUAGAAGCAGCCAUUCCUUUAAAGAGUGCGUAACAGCUCACUGGUCGAGUGAUCCCGCGCGGAUGAUGUAACGGGGCUCAAGUUCUGCACCGAAGCUACGGGUUUUCAUCAAUAACCCAGGCCAAUUCCUUCGGGAAUCGGUCCAGGGGAUGAAAGCGGUAGGGGAGCGUCGUGUGGCCGAUGAAGCGGCGGCGGAAGCCAGCCGUGGAGGCCACUCGAGUGAGAAUGUCGGCAUGAGUAGCGAAUGAGGAGUGAGAAUCUCCUCCGCCGGAUGUCCAAGGUUUCCUGGGGAAGGCUCGUCCGCCCAGGGUUAGUCGGGACCUAAGGUGAGGCCGCGAGGCGUAAUCGAUGGAUAACGGGUUGAUAUUCCCGUACUACUGCAGGCGCGUCCAGGCCGAACCCAACUUGCUAAGGAAAGCCCUUCGGGGCCUACCGACCCAGUUGGUAUUAGGCCAGCGAUGGAGUGACGCGGAAGGGUAAGCAGACCCGGGCGAUGGUUGUCCCGGGGUAAGCGUGUAGGACGAGGUCCAGGCAAAUCCGGACCUCACAAAGUCCGAGGCGCGAUGCCGAGCCGAAAGAGGCGAAGCUGCUGAACGCCCAUGCCGCCUAGAAAAGCUUCUAGCGAGCUCCUGGAGUACCCGUACCCCAAACCAACACAGGUGGACAAGUAGAGAAUACUAAGGCGAGCGAGAUAACUCUGGUUAAGGAACUCGGCAAAAUGGCUCCGUAACUUCGGGAGAAGGAGCGCCCCCGUAGGGUGUAGGACUUCGCGUCCGAAGCCCGAAGGGGUUGCAGAUACCAGGCCCAAGCGACUGUUUACUAAAAACACAGGAGCGUGCGAAGUCGCAAGACGCUGUAUACGCUCUGACGCCUGCCCGGUGCUGGAAGGUCAAGGAGAUGGGUUAGCUCUUAGAGCGAAGCUUUGAACCUAAGCCCCAGUAAACGGCGGCGGUAACUAUAACCGUCCUAAGGUAGCGAAAUUCCUUGUCGGGUAAGUUCCGACCUGCACGAAUGGCGCAACGACUUGGGCGCUGUCUCAACCAGAGGCUCGGCGAAAUUGCAGUGUGAGUAAAGAUGCUCACUACCUGCGACAGGACGGAAAGACCCCGGGACCUUUACUGCAGCUUGACAUUGGAGUUCGUCAUGUGAUGUGUAGGAUAGGUGGGAGACUGUGAAGCGUCGGCGCUAGCCGGCGUGGAGUCAACCUUGAAAUACCACCCCUUGCAUGAUGGUCUUCUAACCUCGGUCCGUUAUCCGGAUCAGGAACAGUGUCUGGUGGGCAGUUUCACUGGGGUGGUGGCCUCCUAAAGUGUAACGGAGGCGCCCAAAGGUUCCCUCAGCCUGGUCGGCAAUCAGGCGUUGAGUGUAAAGGCACAAGGGAGCUUGACUGCGAGACCUACGAGUCGAGCAGGUUCGAAAGAAGGGCUUAGUGAUCCCUCGGCGGCACGUGGGUGCGCCGAGGCCAACGGCUAAAAGGUACCCCGGGGAUAACAGGCUUAUCCCGCCCAAGAGUCCAUAUCGACGGCGGGGGUUGGCACCUCGAUGUCGGCUCGUCUCAUCCUGGGGCUGAAGCAGGUCCCAAGGGUCGGGCUGUUCGCCCGUUAAAGAGGCACGCGAGCUGGGUUUAGAACGUCGUGAGACAGUUCGGUCCCUAUCCGUCGCAGGCGCAGGAGAUUUGAGGAGAGCUGUCCCUAGUACGAGAGGACCGGGAUGGACGUACCUCUGGUGUGCCAGUUGUUCUGCCAAGAGCACGGCUGGUUUGCUACGUACGGAACGGAUAAGCGCUGAAAGCAUCUAAGCGCGAAGCCGCCUCCGAGAUCAGAUCUCCCACCGGAUAAACCGGGUAAGGCCCCUGGUAGAACACCAGGUUGAUAGGCCGGAAGUGGAAGCGCAGCAAUGCGUGCAGCUGACCGGUACUAAUAGGCCGAGGGCUUGAUUUU
rnacentral:rRNA from 1 species